rnacentral:rRNA from 1 species
UACGGAGGGUGCCAGCCUUAAUCGGAUUUAUUGGGCGUAAAGAGGGCGUAGGCGGAAAUGUAAGUAAGAUGUGAAAGCCCGGUGCUCAACCCCGGAAUGGCAUUUGAGACUGCGUAUAUAGAGGGUAGGCGGAGAAAACGGAAUUCCACAUGUAGCGGUGAAAUGCGUAGAUAUGUGGAAGAACACCGGUGGCGAAGUCGGUUUUCUAGCUUAUACCUGACGCUUAGGCCCGAAAGCAAUGGGAGCAAACAGG